rnacentral:ncRNA from 1 species
UAACUUGGCGAUAUACGGGAUCAGCGGCAAAUUGAGAAUCAGUAGAACCACAUUACCGAUAUACAUCGAUAUAAUCACCGCCCAGAAAAUUGAUGGAUUGUCGACCAUUAGGCGCGGGCC